UACGGGGGGGGGAAGCGUUGUUCGGAAUUACUGGGCGUAAAGGGCUCGUAGGCGGCCAACUAAGUCAUACGUGAAAUCCCUCAGCUUAACUGGGGAACUGCGUGUGAUACUGGAUGGCUUGGAUUUGGGAGAGGGAUGCGGAAUUCCAGGUGUAGCGGUGAAAUGCGUAGAGAUCUGGAGGAACACCGAUGGCGAAGGCAGCCUUCUGGGCGAACACUGACGCUCAUGCACGAAAGCGUGGGGAGCAAACAGG
rnacentral:rRNA from 1 species